GACGAACGCUGGCGGCGUGCCUAAUACAUGCAAGUUGAGCGCUGAAGGUUGGUACUUGUACCAACUGGAUGAGCAGCGAACGGGUGAGUAACGCGUGGGGAAUCUGCCUUUGAGCGGGGGACAACAUUUGGAAACGAAUGCUAAUACCGCAUAAAAACUUUAAACACAAGUUUUAAGUUUGAAAGAUGCAAUUGCAUCACUCAAAGAUGAUCCCGCGUUGUAUUAGCUAGUUGGUGAGGUAAAGGCUCACUAAGGCGAUGAUACAUAGCCGACCUGAGAGGGUGAUCGGCCACAUUGGGACUGAGACACGGCCCAAACUCCUACGGGAGGCAGCAGUAGGGAAUCUUCGGCAAUGGACGAAAGUCUGACCGAGCAACGCCGCGUGAGGGAAGAAGGUUUUCGGAUCGUAAAACUCUGUUGGUAGAGAAGAACGUUGGUGAGAGUGGAAAGCUCAUCAAGUGACGGUAACUACCCAGAAAGGGACGGCUAACUACGUG
rnacentral:rRNA from 1 species